CGGCGGACGGGUGAGUAACACGUAGGCAACCUACCCAUCAGACCGGGAUAACCGCGGGAAACCGUGGCUAAUACCGGAUGAACCUUCCGGGCAUAAGUCCUGAAGUUGAAAGGCGCUUUUGGUGCCGUUGAUGGAUGGGCCUGCGGCGCAUUAGCUGGUUGGUGGGGUAACGGCUCACCAAGGCGACGAUGCGUAGCCGACCUGAGAGGGUGAUCGGCCACACUGGGACUGAGACACGGCCCAGACUCCUACGGGAGGCAGCAGUAGGGAAUCUUCCGCAAUGGACGCAAGUCUGACGGAGCAACGCCGCGUGAGUGAAGAAGGGUUUCGGCUCGUAAAACUCUGUUGUUAAGGAAGAAUGUCAUUGAGAGUAACUGCUCAUUGAGUGACGGUACUUAACCAGAAAGCCACGGCUAACUACGUGCCAGCAGCCGCGGUAAUACGUAGGUGGCAAGCGUUAUCCGGAAUUAUUGGGCGUAAA
rnacentral:rRNA from 1 species